CUAGAAUUAAUCGGAGCUUGUAUGAUGUAUUUAGAGGGAUGUACUAACGGACCCGAUAAAAGCCUGUUUGGAAAACCCAAACAUGGGAGUUGAUUGAGGAAUAAACUUAGGUCUUGAUUUAUCAAAACCUAAGUUCUAAAUAUAAAUAUCUCUCCUCCCCUAAGCUCUCGGCGCAAAAACCCUUGCCUUUGCCCGUGCCCUAGCUUCCCCUCCUCCCCCUCGCGGUGCCGAACUCCCCUUUUCCUCCUCACUGCCGCCCGACGCCGCUCCCUCCUCAAUCGCCGACCCCUCCAUCCUUCCUUUUCUCCUCAGCCGACGACACCCUUGCAAUCUUGAAGCCGCAGCGCCGCCGCCUCCUUUUCUCAUCGCGGAUGCCAAGUACUCACCGGAAGCCGAAGCCGCCACCAUCUCCCUCUUCCGUGCCCUAGUAUCGUCUCCUCUGCUCUAGGAUUGGUCUUCACUCUCGACCUACCCUUCCUUCAAUGGAUCGCCGCCGAGCAGUAGAGAUUCGGCUUGGGACCGAGUUCACCUACAAAAAUUCCCUUCUCCGCUUGAUCUGAGCCGCGUGAGGUGGUUCUGUCAUCGAGUGCCUCACCAUAAAGGUUCGGCUGCAAAUUUCCAGCAGCAGGUAUCACCGGCGGGGAGCCUCAGCAGUUGUUUUCCGGCCGUGAAUCAGUAGCUUUGUAGAAACUCCGGUUGUGGAUCUGUGGCAGAGGGCAGCACCACUGUGCUUGUGCCGGCAGUAACACCUCCUGGCAGUGGGUCAACCGAGGAUUUUAAUCGAGGCUGGUGUCGUGACGAAGUUGAUAUUUGAUUCGAUCUACAUAUAAGGCGGGUAUUUCUUGCUUUGUCUCUUUAGUCCUUUGAACUUGGUGC